AGCUAGAUAACCGAAAGUAACAAGAAUCCCAUUACACUCCUGGUGGAUAAUUGAGAGUCAAAUAUUUUAACUACAUUCAUUUUUGAAGAAAAUUGCAAAUGAUGAAAAAUGUCAUGGAAGCAGACAACAACACCAUUAAAGAUCUUGUGAUAAAAAGAUGCAAACUCAGAUUGCCAGGCCAAACCAAAAAAAAAACAUAUAUGAUUAAGCGAAGCAGAGAGAAUGAAAGGAGCAGCUCGGCUUCUAAUUCUACACCACCACCCCCUAACACACAAACACCACAUCCCCCCCCCGCCCCCCGCUUAUGUGACGAAGCCUCGGAAAAAGAUGCUGCUGAGACCACCAUCUUAGAAAGCUGGCAUAAAAUGGAUGUGCUUUAUGCAGUGAUUACAGAGCUUUAUAACAGACGUCACUGCAGCGGCACAGGAUAAGAAUUCACUUUUUCCGUCUGUGAUUUUCACCAUCUGCCUCCAGAAGUGCCUGCAGGACUUGUCAAUGUGGGGAGACAAUGCUUGAACAGUAUCUACAAGAAACCUGGAGAGAAGAGCAGCCAGUCACCUGCAUUAAGCUUAUCCCAAUGACAGAAAUGACCAGCAGACUUACUGAUGAACUCACUUGGUAAACAUCUCCCUGUUUGUCAGCUUUCAAUGCAUUUGCAAAUGUCUGAUGCAAGACAUCGAAAACCGAACUGAUCCAAGAGGAGGAGACCCCUGCUAUUUCUAUCGGACAUGAAUGUUUCAAAAAUUGUAAUUGCACCCUCUUUCCUGUCUUGAUGCUUCAUAAAUCGAAGGAGUGAAACCUGCAGUAUGGACAAGUUGUAAAGCAUUACAUUUAUUCCUUAAAUGUCAUCCUUGUUGAUCAAUUGAUUCUAUUGACUGUCCUCAAAUAAAUAUCUUUAAUACAUAUAUAAACACAACAUGCACUAUGGACAACAACACUGAAUACUUAACAUGGGUGGAAGUAAGUGAACUUCACUUAGCCCAACUACUUAAAAUAGU